rnacentral:rRNA from 1 species
UACGUAGGGGCCUAGCGUUGUUCGGAAUCACUGGGCUUAAAGGGCGCGUAGGCGGGCAGCCAAGUCCGGGGUGAAAUCCUUCGGCUUAACCGGAGAAUUGCCUGGGAUACUGGCUGUCUUGAGGGAGGUAGGGGCACGCGGAACUUCCGGUGGAGCGGUGAAAUGCGUUGAUAUCGGAAGGAACGCCGGUGGCGAAAGCGGCGUGCUGGCCCUCUUCUGACGCUGAGGUGCGAAAGCGUGGGGAGCAAACAGG